rnacentral:rRNA from 1 species
GACGAACGCUGGCGGCGUGCCUAACACAUGCAAGUCGAACGGAAAGGCCCUGCUUUUGUGCGUUUCUCGAUUGGCGAACGGGUGAGUAACACGUGAGUAACCUCCCCUUGUCUUUCUGAUAACUUCACGAAACUGGGGCUCAUACCCGAUAGGAUCUCCUGCUGCAUGUUGGUGGUUGGAAAGUUUCGGCGGUUGGGGAUGGACUCGCUGGUUAUCAGCCUGUUAGUGGGGUAGUUGCAUACCAAGGCUAAGACGGGUAGCCUGCCUGAGAGGGGAACCGGCCACAAGAGUACUGAGAGACGGCGCAGAAGGGAACCGGAGGCAACGGUGGAGAAUAUUACAGAAUAGGCGGGCGCCAGAGGCGAAAAUGCCGGGAGCGGAAUGACGUCCUUCGGGUUGUAAACAAAUGUCUACUGAGACGAGGAGUGAGUGACGGUAAUGGGUAAAGAAGCACCGGCUAACUACGUG